GUCUCAUAUGCCAUCCAAUACUUGUAUGAGGCUCUUAUUUAGUGACAUGUGUAAAUUGUGGGCCCAUUUAUUGAACUUCUUCUCCUUGAUGUAAUUUCUUAGGCAAAUACUCCUCCCUUUUUCUCUUUCUUAGUUCUUUUCUUUUUUCUUAACACUUCAUCUUCCUCCUCCCAACAGACCUAUUCGAUGGGUCUGUAGCUGUGAGCUCCACAUUUCAUGGACUACUUGUGCAUUUUUAUUUUAGUUGGGACCUUGCGAGUGUCUCACGCCCACUCCUUGAGGUUUUGAGAAACUUAACCCAACUCUUUCUAACAGGAGUUGCAGAAAUUUGGAAGAGGAGAGAGUAAAAGGGCAAGGGUUCGGAGUUGGCAAAUGUUUAUCCAAAAUCCACGUGGCAAAGUUCUAAAGGAGUCUCAUAUAAGUUGUGUCUGCCAGAUAAUAGAUUUUGACCUACAAAGGAAUCAUCAUGAAUGUAUGUUAUACACAUCACCGAGAGGAAGAGACUAAAAAAGGGAGAUAAGAGGGAAAAAAAGCCACCUUAGCUUUCAAAUCAAAUUCCACCUUGUAGAAGUGAUAGGCUAUAUGUACCUUGUUAUGUUUUGAUGAUCUAACAAAUUUAAUGACAAGAACUAGAUAAGGAACCUGAUACACAUUCUCAAGUAUGUGAAAAUAACAAGACUUAAGCUGGAAUUGUAAAUCAACGCUUCAGGAGUCAAAGAAUCAACAAGAGGAACAGAUGGACAUCAGUUCCCCUGGUGAUCGUACAGUCAACUUCAUUGGGAAUGAUCCUGUACCAUCCAUGCUUGCAUCAUUCAAAUGAUGUCACCAAUGUUAUAUUAACAUUAAACCAAGGACAAAACAUCUCUUGAAUUUUUGAAGAAUCCAUCAAGUACUUUCUCAAGUGACCAAUCAAUCUGGCAAGCGAUUCUCAAGAGCAUCAAGAACAAAGAACAACAUAACAACAGACCAGUUCCCUGUAUUGAGUUAUUACAUAUCCUUAGUUGUGUUGCACCUUUGUUAAAGUUCUUCACUUGUAAUUCCUACUUAGCUUAGUUAGAAGCA